GGUUCGAAGGCGAUCAGAUACCGCCCUAGUUCUGACCGUAAACGAUGCCACCUGACGAUCCGCCAGGGUUACUACCAUGACUCGGCGGGCAGUCCCCGGGAAACCCAAGCCUUCGGGUUCCGGGGGAAGUAUGGUUGCAAAGCUGAAACUUAAAGGAAUUGACGGAAGGGCACCACCAGGAGUGGAGCCUGCGGCUUAAUUUGACUCAACACGGGGAACCUCACCCGGCCCGGACACCGCGAGGAUUGACAGAUUGAGAGCUCUUUCUCGAUUCGGUGGGUGGUGGUGCAUGGCCGUUCUUAGUUGGUGGAGCGAUUUGUCUGGUUAAUUCCGAUAACGAACGAGACUCUAGCCGGUUAAGUAGCCCGAGCGGUUUUUGAUCUUUGCCGUUCAUCCCCGUUCGACCUUUGCGUCGUCCCCCUUUUUUCGUUUUCGGGCUCCGUCUCUGUCCGUUUUUUUCCGUU
rnacentral:rRNA from 1 species